rnacentral:snRNA from 1 species
GGAUGUGAGGGUGAUCUGGCUGCGACAUCUGUUAUCCCAUUGAUUGCCAGGGUUGAUUCGGCUGAUACGACUGGUUAGGCAGGUGUCCCCUUCCUCCCUCACUGCUCCAUGUUUGUCCAUCCAAAAACUAUGCUUUCGAUCAAAGAGGACAGCCUUCCCUGAAUAGAUAUGGACCAUUCUUCCAUAAAGGGUAUAUGAGUAGCUACACUUCCUGCUAGAACCUCCAAACCAGUAAUGUCAAAGGACAUAAAUUAUGGUGGUGCUGUGUAUGAUAUAGCAAAUCCUAACAAAGGAAUUUUCAAAGUUAACCCAAUUGCUAAAUAAUUU